CCUACGGGUGGCAGCAGUGAGGAAUAUUGGUCAAUGGGCGUAAGCCUGAACCAGCCAAGUCGCGUGAGGGAUGAAGGUUCUAUGGAUCGUAAACCUCUUUUAUAAGGGAAUAAAGUGUGGGACGUGUCCUGUUUUGUAUGUACCUUAUGAAUAAGGAUCGGCAAACUCCGUGCCAGCAGCCGCGGUAAUACGGAGGAUCCGAGCGUUAUCCGGAUUUAUUGGGUUUAAAGGGUGCGUAGGCGGCCGUUUAAGUCAGCGGUGAAAGUCUGUGGCGCAACCAGUGAAGUGCCGUUGAAACUGGGAGGCUUGAGUAUGUUUGAGGCAGGCGGAAUGCGUGGUGUAGCGGUGAAAUGCUUAGAUAUCACGCAGAACCCCGAUUGCGAAGGCAGCCUGCCAAGCCAUGACUGACGCUGAUGCACGAAAGCGUGGGGAUCAAACAGGAUUAGAUACCCUAGUAGUC
rnacentral:rRNA from 1 species